ACCCCUAGAGGUCUAAGUUUUAUAGAUGUUGUUGGUUUAAAAUGUUGGAAAGUGGUGAACACUCAGCAAUGGGCUUAUAGUAAGGAAUGAUACCUACAGUGGUUGGCAUAAAAUUCCAGCGACUGUUCAAAGAAUUCUAAAUACCUAUAUUGCUGUGGAAAGGUACUGAGGCCACUAAUCACACUCCUCUUAUCAUCCUUUGUCAAUCCCCACUGAGAUUCAUGAUUAGUGGAAUAUAAUUCUAAGGGAAGAGGUCAGGGAGAUUAAUUUGUGUGGAACCAUCUCACUGGAGAUCUCGGUGGCAGAAAUUCCAAGUUGAGAGGGUCUCCUGGUCAUGAGGAUACUUCAUAGAGAAGUCUGAGCCCUGGACUAUGCACAAGUGGAAAAGAUCCCAAAGGCAAGAACAGCAACCCUCUCACCUAGUCAGCCGGCAGAGAAGAUAGUAAAUGGCAAAUGAACACUGCAAAGAGAAAAUAAAGAGGAUACUCUCAACUCGUUUUACUUUAAAUU